UUGAAGUCAGGCCACUUGUGCCACGGCUUGAGCAAACCGUGCUGCCUGUAGCUCCGCCCAAAACGGGAGGCGUAAAAAUUCCCAGGGAGGCCAUGCGCCACGGAAGCUGUACGCGUGGCAUAUUGGACUAGCGGUUAGAGGAGACCCCUCCCAUCACCAACAAAACGCAGCAAAAGGGGGCCCGAAGCCAGGAGGAAGCUGUACUCCUGGUGGAAGGACUAGAGGUUAGAGGAGACCCCCCCAACACAAAAACAGCAUAUUGACGCUGGGAAAGACCA
rnacentral:lncRNA from 1 species